rnacentral:rRNA from 1 species
UACGGAGGGUGCAAGCGUUAUCCGGAUUCACUGGGUUUAAAGGGUGCGUAGGUGGGCAGGUAAGUCAGUGGUGAAAUCUCCGGGCUUAACCCGGAAACUGCCAUUGAUACUAUUUGUCUUGAAUACUGUGGAGGUCAGCGGAAUAUGUCAUGUAGCGGUGAAAUGCUUAGAUAUGACAUAGAACACCAAUUGCGAAGGCAGCUGACUACACAAAUAUUGACACUGAGGCACGAAAGCGUGGGGAUCAAACAGG